UGCUCUUCCAAUCUGAUGUUUCAGUUCGUCCAUUUAACAGAUAUGAAGAGCAUUUUAAGAGAUACAGCCUCUGGAAAUGGAUCAAACUCUAACUCAUGGCAUACUAGAUAUGUUUGUCAAUAAACUUAUGACAUGAAAAAAAAACUGUAACUAACAUCAAUUAAACAAAUGAUUAGGUUGGAAGAUACAACAGUCAAGAGUUGCACAAUGGACUUUCUAAUAAUUGAUGGGUAUUACUCCUUUCCCUUCUGCACAAAACAUAACACAUCCAAAUUUUCAGUGUGUGUAGUAUCAGUAUUGAAAAAAUCCUUGACCCUUAAAAUGUUUUGCCGUUUAAGAAUAAAAGUUCAUUGCACUUUAUUCUUGAUCUCUGAUCACUACUGAAGGAUAUUCGAAGAGAGAUGUUAUGAUUUAGCUAUAACCUGUUCUUGGUGAAGUGAUAGCUUUGAUGUCCAGAUAAAAGUACUUUUCAAUUCUAACAAAACAAAAUAAAAAGGUGUGCAGAAGAUGAAAGUCCUCAGGUAAUAUAAGAAGAGAAGGAAAAUAUUGAGAUAAAUAUCUUUGAGGUCUCCAACCACUUUUUAUAUUCCUAGUGAAUAAUUUGGACUAAGUGGUUUAGCCAUGACAGAACCUUACAGAGUGGGAUCAUAUAUUUGAGGGAAAUAAUAUAGAGUAUAAGUUCUACAAACAUAGGAAUUAUGCUUUUGCUUUCCUGUAAAGGCUAGGAUAGGACUUUACCCCCAGUAUAUGCUUCAUAAAUGCCAGUGAUGAAAAGGAGAAGGACUACUGUACUUCAGGGUCAUUUUAAUGAAAUAACAGAUCAGAAUGGAGUUCUGGAAUCUUACUCAUAUUCAACCAAGCAAGUACUACAUUUCAGAACCUAACAUCUAACAGACAUCUGUAUUAGUCAAGGUUCUCCAGAGAAACAAAACCGGUAAGAGAUUUAUGUGUUUAAUCCAUAUACUUUUUGAGCCAGAUUUUCUCAUUUAUAAAGUGCCUUUUUCCAUUUUAUAAAGAUAGUCUGACAGAUAGCAUGUGCUUUCCCACACAAAUCUGUCAGCUCGCUCAUCUUUAUCCACCACACCCACCUAUGGUUCAAAUCUGAAAACUUUCCAAAGUAGAGUAUGCCAGUCAGCUAGAGGCAGUUAGAUGAAAAUUGAGAAGUAAAAAUUCAUCUUAAAUCUUUGUUUAUCUGAGAUCUAAGCUUCACCACAGUAGAUAACUGCUGGAUGGAUAAAGGUCUUAGUCAGCUGGGGCCUUUGUGGCAUCUCUCAGGCUCCAGGUGGGGUAUAUAAAUAGUAUAUUACUCUUAAAUGUGUAUGUGUUACCCUUAAGAACCACUUCUUUAGGCAUUUAGACAUCCAAGAAUGUCUAAGAAAACCCUUAUUUGUACAUUGAUACAUGGGCUUGUUUUAAAAAAUCAGAGCUUGUUACAAUCCAAAUACUUUCUUGGAAACCCAAAGUGUAUAUCUUGUGCUGAAUGAUAAAUUCUACCUCUCCUGUAGAAGCCCAAUAAUAUCUUCAGUGAAAGGGAGUGACAAACAUUUCACAUGGAAAGAGGUGGAUGUUUUUCUUGGAAAACUCAGGGUGCAUGUCAUUUCUUAAAAGAAAAAUAUUUUCUUUUCUGAAGUACACAUUAUGGAUCCUCAGCGACAUUUAUUUAAGGAGAGGCCUACAAUGAGUCUAAGCUCAUAAAUCUUGUUUGCUGUUCUUUUCCUAAUCCAGUGGAUAAGAAAAAUCAGACUCUUUACAUAUUAUAUUCUGUUCCCCCAUUGUUUUUAGUUGUGCUAGCCAGAUUUUAUUUUUAAUUUUUGUGGGUACAUAGUAGAUACAUAUUUAUGAGUUACAAGAGAUGUUUUG